rnacentral:tRNA from 1 species
UCCCUGCUGGCUUACAUGGUAGAGAAUCUGCCUGCAGUGCAGGAGACCCAGGUUCAAUCCCUUGGUUGGGAA